GGUUAAGCGACUAAGCGUACACGGUGGAUGCCCUGGCAGUCAGAGGCGAUGAAGGACGUGCUAAUCUGCGAUAAGCGUCGGUAAGGUGAUAUGAACCGUUAUAACCGGCGAUUUCCGAAUGGGGAAACCCAGUGUGAUUCGUCACACUAUCAUUAACUGAAUCCAUAGGUUAAUGAGGCGAACCGGGGGAACUGAAACAUCUAAGUACCCCGAGGAAAAGAAAUCAACCGAGAUUCCCCCAGUAGCGGCGAGCGAACGGGGAGCAGCCCAGAGCCUGAAUCAGUGUGUGUGUUAGUGGAAGCGUCUGGAAAGGCGCGCGAUACAGGGUGACAGCCCCGUACACAAAAAUGCACAUGCUGUGAGCUCGAUGAGUAGGGCGGGACACGUGGUAUCCUGUCUGAAUAUGGGGGGACCAUCCUCCAAGGCUAAAUACUCCUGACUGACCGAUAGUGAACCAGUACCGUGAGGGAAAGGCGAAAAGAACCCCGGCGAGGGGAGUGAAAAAGAACCUGAAACCGUGUACGUACAAGCAGUGGGAGCCUCUUAAUGGGGUGACUGCGUACCUUUUGUAUAAUGGGUCAGCGACUUAUAUUCUGUAGCAAGGUUAACCGAAUAGGGGAGCCGAAGGGAAACCGAGUCUUAACUGGGCGUUAAGUUGCAGGGUAUAGACCCGAAACCCGGUGAUCUAGCCAUGGGCAGGUUGAAGGUUGGGUAACACUAACUGGAGGACCGAACCGACUAAUGUUGAAAAAUUAGCGGAUGACUUGUGGCUGGGGGUGAAAGGCCAAUCAAACCGGGAGAUAGCUGGUUCUCCCCGAAAGCUAUUUAGGUAGCGCCUCGUGAAUUCAUCUCCGGGGGUAGAGCACUGUUUCGGCAAGGGGGUCAUCCCGACUUACCAACCCGAUGCAAACUGCGAAUACCGGAGAAUGUUAUCACGGGAGACACACGGCGGGUGCUAACGUCCGUCGUGAAGAGGGAAACAACCCAGACCGCCAGCUAAGGUCCCAAAGUCAUGGUUAAGUGGGAAACGAUGUGGGAAGGCCCAGACAGCCAGGAUGUUGGCUUAGAAGCAGCCAUCAUUUAAAGAAAGCGUAAUAGCUCACUGGUCGAGUCGGCCUGCGCGGAAGAUGUAACGGGGCUAAACCAUGCACCGAAGCUGCGGCAGCGACGCUUAUGCGUUGUUGGGUAGGGGAGCGUUCUGUAAGCCUGCGAAGGUGUACUGUGAGGUAUGCUGGAGGUAUCAGAAGUGCGAAUGCUGACAUAAGUAACGAUAAAGCGGGUGAAAAGCCCGCUCGCCGGAAGACCAAGGGUUCCUGUCCAACGUUAAUCGGGGCAGGGUGAGUCGACCCCUAAGGCGAGGCCGAAAGGCGUAGUCGAUGGGAAACAGGUUAAUAUUCCUGUACUUGGUGUUACUGCGAAGGGGGGACGGAGAAGGCUAUGUUGGCCGGGCGACGGUUGUCCCGGUUUAAGCGUGUAGGCUGGUUUUCCAGGCAAAUCCGGAAAAUCAAGGCUGAGGCGUGAUGACGAGGCACUACGGUGCUGAAGCAACAAAUGCCCUGCUUCCAGGAAAAGCCUCUAAGCAUCAGGUAACAUCAAAUCGUACCCCAAACCGACACAGGUGGUCAGGUAGAGAAUACCAAGGCGCUUGAGAGAACUCGGGUGAAGGAACUAGGCAAAAUGGUGCCGUAACUUCGGGAGAAGGCACGCUGAUAUGUAGGUGAAGUCCCUUGCGGAUGGAGCUGAAAUCAGUCGAAGAUACCAGCUGGCUGCAACUGUUUAUUAAAAACACAGCACUGUGCAAACACGAAAGUGGACGUAUACGGUGUGACGCCUGCCCGGUGCCGGAAGGUUAAUUGAUGGGGUUAGCGGUAACGCGAAGCUCUUGAUCGAAGCCCCGGUAAACGGCGGCCGUAACUAUAACGGUCCUAAGGUAGCGAAAUUCCUUGUCGGGUAAGUUCCGACCUGCACGAAUGGCGUAAUGAUGGCCAGGCUGUCUCCACCCGAGACUCAGUGAAAUUGAACUCGCUGUGAAGAUGCAGUGUACCCGCGGCAAGACGGAAAGACCCCGUGAACCUUUACUAUAGCUUGACACUGAACAUUGAGCCUUGAUGUGUAGGAUAGGUGGGAGGCUUUGAAGUGUGGACGCCAGUCUGCAUGGAGCCGACCUUGAAAUACCACCCUUUAAUGUUUGAUGUUCUAACGUUGGCCCCUAAUCGGGGUUGCGGACAGUGUCUGGUGGGUAGUUUGACUGGGGCGGUCUCCUCCUAAAGAGUAACGGAGGAGCACGAAGGUUGGCUAAUCCUGGUCGGACAUCAGGAGGUUAGUGCAAUGGCAUAAGCCAGCUUGACUGCGAGCGUGACGGCGCGAGCAGGUGCGAAAGCAGGUCAUAGUGAUCCGGUGGUUCUGAAUGGAAGGGCCAUCGCUCAACGGAUAAAAGGUACUCCGGGGAUAACAGGCUGAUACCGCCCAAGAGUUCAUAUCGACGGCGGUGUUUGGCACCUCGAUGUCGGCUCAUCACAUCCUGGGGCUGAAGUAGGUCCCAAGGGUAUGGCUGUUCGCCAUUUAAAGUGGUACGCGAGCUGGGUUUAGAACGUCGUGAGACAGUUCGGUCCCUAUCUGCCGUGGGCGCUGGAGAACUGAGGGGGGCUGCUCCUAGUACGAGAGGACCGGAGUGGACGCAUCACUGGUGUUCGGGUUGUCAUGCCAAUGGCACUGCCCGGUAGCUAAAUGCGGAAGAGAUAAGUGCUGAAAGCAUCUAAGCACGAAACUUGCCCCGAGAUGAGUUCUCCCUGACUCCCUGAGAGUCCUGAAGGAACGUUGAAGACGACGACGUUGAUAGGCCGGGUGUGUAAGCGCAGCGAUGCGUUGAGCUAACCGGUACUAAUGAACCGUGAGGCUUAACCUU
rnacentral:rRNA from 1 species